GACGGGUGCAAGCGUUGUGGGCCACAAUGGUUCAGCGUGAGCAAGCGGUAGUCUCCCACCGGAUAAGCCACCAUGCCACGCGUGUCUGGUGUAUGUGGGUUUGGCUGUGCGCGUGUCCUCUCAUGGGGGCAGCCACUCCGUUCAGCUCUGGCGAUUUGGAUCCGCUGUAGUGUUGUUCUGGCCGUCGGUGCUGCUUUCCCCGGCUGCUUCUUGGGCGGAGGAGGUUCCGGCCGUCGGUGCUGCUUUCCCCGGCUGCUUCUUGGGCGGAGGAGGUUUCGGCCGUCGGUGCUGCUUUCCCCGGCUGCUUCUUGGGCGGAGGAGGGAGCUCGGUCCAUCUGUUUGCCCAGCCGCCCGGAUCCAUGGGGGACAUGUCCACGAUUCAACGCCCACCCGCCGUUGUCACCAAGGGCAUAUUUCCAACAGGUAUGUGGCGACAUCAAGCAGAGUCAUCGUUGAUAAAUGGAUCUGUUUAAGAUUGUUUGAUGUCAGGUAUGGACUUCAAUCAUAUAGUAAAAAGGCAAUAGGAGAGACAUGAAACACAAUUUGGCCCUAAAGCAUAUGCUAACAAUGGGGUGUUACUGAUAAGCAACCUUGUUUUGGUAUAUGUGAGACAAGUUGUUUCAUAUAGUUCUAAGCAUGUUUCUAUAAACUGUUGUAAUUAGGCUAGGGUAAUUUAUAAAGAUGAUUGCCAUAGAACAUAAUUACUCUCUCUGUACACUAAUAUAAGACAUUUUUGCAGUUCAAUUUAAACUGCAAAAACGUCUUAUGUUAGUGUAAAAGGGAGUAUGAUAUAGAUGAAGUAAACACUGCAUUUUCAUACAGAAAUAGUGACAUUAUGAUUGAACAUAGAUUCAAAGGCGAUAAAUCAUUACUACCGACAAUACUUCAUUGUGCGCCCAUAAUCCACAAAAUCAGAAGUAAACGCAUGCUCAAUAGUCUUAAUCCCAAUGAUAGAUUUAAGGGAAAUGACGCACAUGGGUAGCGUUGGAGGAGGCACCCAUAUUUCCAUGAGCAUAUAUUCGACUUUGCGCUCAGCAUCGGUAAUAAGUCUUGCCCUUGAUGCAAUAAUAGCCUUGGCAAUAUUCUAGUUGUAUUCGUCCAUAUCAUCCACCGGCACAUCACUUUCGGUGGUAUCAUCUUCCUCUAGGUUGUCACUAUUGCCAAUUUCACUUAAUACAAUAGCAAAGAACACUUUGUUAGUUGCAAAA